UACGUAGGGGGCAAGCGUUGUCCGGAUUUAUUGGGCGUAAAGAGCGUGUAGGCGGCCUGAAAGGUCAGCUGUGAAAACUCGAGGCUCAACCUCGAGACGUCGGUUGAAACCAUCUGGCUAGAGUCCGGAAGAGGAGUGUGGAAUUCCCGGUGUAGCGGUGAAAUGCGCAGAUAUCGGGAAGAACACCGGUGGCGAAGGCGGGUCUCUGGGCCGAUAUUGACGCUGAGGAGCGAAAGCGUGGGGAGCAAACAGG
rnacentral:rRNA from 1 species